GAUGAACGCUGGCGGCGUGCCUAAUACAUGCAAGUCGAGCGAACAGACAAGGAGCUUGCUCCUCUGACGUUAGCGGCGGACGGGUGAGUAACACGUGGAUAACCUACCUAUAAGACUGGGAUAACUUCGGGAAACCGGAGCUAAUACCGGAUAAUAUUUUGAACCGCAUGGUUCUAUAGUGAAAGACGGUUUUGCUGUCACUUAUAGAUGGAUCCGCGCCGCAUUAGCUAGUUGGUAAGGUAACGGCUUACCAAGGCGACGAUGCGUAGCCGACCUGAGAGGGUGAUCGGCCACACUGGAACUGAGACACGGUCCAGACUCCUACGGGAGGCAGCAGUAGGGAAUCUUCCGCAAUGGGCGAAAGCCUGACGGAGCAACGCCGCGUGAGUGAUGAAGGUCUUCGGAUCGUAAAACUCUGUUAUUAGGGAAGAACAAAUGUGUAAGUAACUGUGCACGUCUUGACGGUACCUAAUCAGAAAGCCACGGCUAACUACGUG
rnacentral:rRNA from 1 species